UACGUAGGGUGCAAGCGUUGUCCGGAAUUAUUGGGCGUAAAGGGCUCGUAGGCGGUCUGUCACGUCGGGUGUGAAAACUCGGGGCUUAACCCCGAGCCUGCUUCCGAUACGGACAGACUAGAGGUAUGCAGGGGAGAAUGGAAUUCCUGGUGUAGCGGUGAAAUGCGCAGAUAUCAGGAGGAACACCGGUGGCGAAGGCGGUUCUCUGGGCAUUACCUGACGCUGAGGAGCGAAAGUGUGGGGAGCGAACAGG
rnacentral:rRNA from 1 species